GAGGAGCCUGCGGCAGAUUAGCUAGUUGGUGAGGUAACGGCUCACCAAGGCAUUGACGGGUAGCUGGUCUGAGAGGACGACCAGUCACACUGGGACUGAGACACGGCCCAGACACCUACGGGUGGCAGCAGUCGAGAAUUUUUCUCAAUGGGGGAAACCCUGAAGGAGCGACGCCGCGUGGAGGAUGAAGGUCUUCGGGUUGUAAACUCCUGUCAUUUGGGAACAAGGCUCCGAGGAGUAACUGCUUCGGAGUUGAUAGUACCAGAAGAGGAAGAGACGGCUAACUCUGUGCCAGCAGCCGCGGUAAUACAGAGGUCUCAAGCGUUGUUCGGAUUCAUUGGGCGUAAAGGGUGCGUAGGCGGCGCGGUAAGUCGGGUGUGAAAUUUCGAGGCUUAACUUCGAAACUGCAUUCGAUACUGCCGUGCUCGAGGACUGGAGAGGAGACUGGAAUUUACGGUGUAGCGGUGAAAUGCGUAGAUAUCGUAAGG
rnacentral:rRNA from 1 species